rnacentral:rRNA from 1 species
AGUGAACACUGGCGGUAGGCCUAACACAUGCAAGUCGAACGGCAGCACAGUAAGAGCUUGCUCUUACGGGUGGCGAGUGGCGGACGGGUGAGGAAUACAUCGGAAUCUACUUUUUCGUGGGGGAUAACGUAGGGAAACUUACGCUAAUGCCGCAUACGACCUACGGGUGAAAGCAGGGGAUCUUCGGACCUUGCGCGAUUGAAUGAGCCGAUGUCGGAUUAGCUAGUUGGCGGGGUAAAGGCCCACCAAGGCGACGAUCCGUAGCUGGUCUGAGAGGAUGAUCAGCCACACUGGAACUGAGACACGGUCCAGACUCCUACGGGAGGCAGCAGUGGGGAAUAUUGGACAAUGGGCGCAAGCCUGAUCCAGCCAUACCGCGUGGGUGAAGAAGGCCUUCGGGUUGUAAAGCCCUUUUGUUGGGAAAGAAAAGCAGCAGGUUAAUACCCCGCUGUUCUGACGGUACCCAAAGAAUAAGCACCGGCUAACUUCGUG